AGUUUCGUGAGGUGCAGGACUUAGCUUGCUUUGUGAACAGAUCUGUGAAAGCCCAUGUUCACAGUGGCUAAGUUCCGCUCCUCAGAGG
ensembl:miRNA